rnacentral:rRNA from 1 species
GGCUCAGAUUGAACGCUGGCGGCAUGCCUUACACAUGCAAGUCGAACGGCAGCACGGGUGCUUGCACCUGGUGGCGAGUGGCGAACGGGUGAGUAAUACAUCGGAACAUGUCCUGUAGUGGGGGAUAGCCCGGCGAAAGCCGGAUUAAUACCGCAUACGAUCCANGGAUGAAAGCGGGGGACCUUCGGGCCUCGCGCUAUAGGGUUGGCCGAUGGCUGAUUAGCUAGUUGGUGGGGUAAAGGCCUACCAAGGCGACGAUCAGUAGCUGGUCUGAGAGGACGACCAGCCACACUGGGACUGAGACACGGCCCAGACUCCUACGGGAGGCAGCAGUGGGGAAUUUUGGACAAUGGGCGAAAGCCUGAUCCAGCAAUGCCGCGUGUGUGAAGAAGGCCUUCGGGUUGUAAAGCACUUUUGUCCGGAAAGAAAUCCUUGGCUCUAAUACAGUCGGGGGAUGACGGUACCGAAGA